AUGCUCACUUCAGCAGCACAUAUACUAAAAUUGGAAGGAUACAGAGAUUAGCAUGGCCCCAGUGCAAGGUGACACACAAAUUCACAAAGACUUCCAUAUUUUU
rnacentral:snRNA from 1 species